UUGGUUUUUCUGAAGUCAAACUUGCUAAACUUUGACCAUGUUUAUUGAAAAAUAUAAUAACAACCACACUACCAAACAUAUGCACUAUCAAAAUAUAUUCCGUGGUGGAUUCAAUGAGAAAAAUUUGGUAUUAUAAAUGUUGUUAUAUUUUUCUAUAAACAUGGUUAAAAUUUAGCAAGUUUGACUUCAGACAAACCAAA
rnacentral:pre_miRNA from 1 species